rnacentral:misc_RNA from 1 species
UUCCAGCCCAACCAGUUCCAAGGACAACAACUUUCUUUUUUCUGUUGUUGGCCUCAACCAAUGCUCCAGCAUUUGAAUUGUCAUUCGAUUUUCCUGCCUCGGAGUAUGCCACAAGACCUCCACCACUGACAGUGAAAACAAUGAGGAGCUUAGAAAGGGAAGGAUUAUCACGGAAAGUUUUAGAAAAUCUCUCAAUCACCGUUACUCUCUG